AUACGUAGGGAGCGAGCGUUGUCCGGAAUUACUGGGUGUAAAGGGAGCGUAGGCGGGAUGGCAAGUCAGAUGUGAAAACUAUGGGCUCAACCCAUAGACUGCAUUUGAAACUGUUAUUCUUGAGUGACGUAGAGGUAAGCGGAAUUCCUGGUGUAGCGGUGAAAUGCGUAGAUAUCAGGAGGAACAUCGGGGGCGAAGGCGGCUUACUGGUCGUGUACUGACUCUGAGGCUCGAAAGCGUUGUGAGCAAACAGGAUUAGAUACCCUGGUAUUCCACCCUUUAAACGAUGAAGACUAGGUGUGGGGGGACUGACACCUUCCGCGCCUCAGUUAACACAAUUAGAAAUCCACCUAUGGAGUACGGCCGCAAGGUUGAAACUCUAAGAAAUUAACGUGG
rnacentral:rRNA from 1 species